rnacentral:lncRNA from 1 species
AAUUAUUAACCAACUUACUACAAUAUGUAUAGAAAUGCCCAUGCUUUAUAAAGGGAAAAUUUCAACAUCUGGUCAUUAUGAACGGAAAAAUUGCUACAGCCAGUCAUUACGAAAUCUCAGUCAUGCAUUACGAAAUAUCAGUCAUGCAUUACGAAAUCACACCCGUGCAUUACGAAAUCACAGUCAUGCAUUAUGAACAGAUGAAACGGGACAUCGAUUAAAUCAAAAUGUCGUUUAUUUCUUUAAAUAAGUGUGACAUUUUUUUAUUUUUUUUAAAACUUAAUAUCAUAAAAACAAGUUUAAAUGAUGUUCAUUCACAUUGUUUUGUAACGACUUGAAACGGAAAUAUUUCACAGCCUUUUUCGAGUACGACUUUCGAUUAUUAUCACUGUUUCAUUUCCGUUGUUCAAUCCUCAGAUUGCAGACUAAAGAAUAGUUAAACUGUCUGAUUUAUUCUUC